rnacentral:misc_RNA from 1 species
UAUUGUUCUUACUCCUCCUCAAUCUUUAUCUCAUCGGUCUCUCUGUAAUCAAACCAAACUUCUUCGUCUUGUUCCAUGGCUACUAAUCGCUGGCUCAGGCCCGAGGUUUAUCCACUAUUUGCUGCCGUUGGAGUUGCCAUCGGAAUCUGUGGACUUCAAUUGGUUCGUAAUAUGCGUAUCAACCCUGAAGUCAGGGUAAACAAGGAGAAAAGAGCUGCUGGCAUCCUGGAGAAUUUUGAGGAGGGAGAGAAAUAUGCUGAACAUGCCAUCAGAAAGUUUGCUCGUAGUAGGCCACCAGAAAUUUUCCCUAACCUUAAUAGGUUCUUCAGUGACCCUCAAAAGAAUUAAGCACCUGUAACUUGGUUAGAAUAAAGUUAUCAGACUUCAUCAUUAUAAUGGUGUGAUUUGGAAUGUAAUGUGACCAUGACGGUAAUCUGUUGUGCUGGAUGUAUCGAUGUGUCUGUAAAAUAGGUUCCUCUGUGACAGUUUGUAUGUCAAAUGUAUUUCUGAAUGAAACUCAAGGUGCAACCAACUACUCUAAGCAUGCAGUUUAUCCUGUAUGUAUCACAUUAAUUAUAUAAAAUGCGGACAUGGCGG